CCCAGUGGUGACGUCCUCCUGCAGCUCUGUUCCAUCUCAGCCUGCCUGCCGGAGCCCACCUAGGGAUGCUCUCCAGCUUGUGGAAGAUCCACUUGCUAAUUGCGUAGCGCGUUCGUUUUUGCACCCUGCCAUCCCAUAAUUGCUGUUGGAUGCCGCGCACAAUGAGCCUGAUUUCACUGUAUACAUGUUUCUCCUUCUCCCGAACCCCCGCUGGCGGUGAGACACCUAAUUAACAGCAGAGCUUUCAAAGUCUCCCUAACAAAUGCUUCCCUGUGUUCCUCGGCACAAGGACUCUCAUUAGCCGAGCCGCGCUUUGUGAUUAUUUAUA